UUUUUUUUUUCUUUUUUGGUAACUAUACUUAUCUUCCAGGGAAGUGUCCUUCACCCAAUCCACAGGGGUGGGCAUGCCACCAGGGCCCAGACAGUCAUAGUGCCCAAGCUGGGGGGCAGGGGUAUUUGCUGUGACAGCAAAUGCAAGGACAUGAAAUGCUUGGGACAGGGAGGCAUCAUAAAAAAACCCACCUUCCAUGGUCACUAAAUUGAGGUAUAAUUAAAAAGUUUAGCUCCAUGAAAAGAUGAACCAGCCGCUGGUGUCUGAGGCAUGGGAAAGAGCCGAGGCCCGCAGGGGUACAGGCGAGAAAUAAAGCAGUAAGGUGGGUCCUGCCUGUUACCACCCAACUCACUCAGGCAACACCUCCUCAGAACCACCAGGUAGGGGGAAGGCAGGGCCACCAGGGCACCAAAGGAAGAAGAGGAGGAACUGGAGGUUCCUGUGCCCCUGUCCAUAGGGCUGAGUCCAGAGACAUUGUGCUGGUGAGAGAGCCGAGCCACCUACAAGGGUUUUGAAGGGGCCUGGGUGAUGAGAGCCCUGGAUAGAGUCACAGUGACUAGGCUUGUCUGGAUGAGAACAGUUUUUUUGUUGUUGUUGUUGUUUUGUUUUUGUUUUUUGCCAUUUCUUAGGCUGCUCCUGCAGCAUAUGGAGGUUCCCAGGCCAAGGGUGAGUCCCUGAAAAGCAAAGAAAGAAAGACAGAGAGGGAGAGAGAGAGAAAGAAAGAAGGAAAGAAAGAAAGGAAGGAAGGAAGGAAGGAAGGACCAAAGAAAGAAAAAGAAAGAAAGAAAUUAGGCCAAUUAAUAACCCUAUGAUGGCCUCUAAGUAUUUAAGUGAAAGGGAGAGUUACAGGUCUCUAACUUUUUGUUUUUUGUUUGUUUGUUUGUUUUGUCUUUUUGCCUUUUCUAGGGCUGCUCCUGUGGCAUAUGGAGGUUCCCAAGCUAGGGGUCCAAUCGGAGCUGUAGCCACCGGCCUACGCCACAGCCACAGCAACGCAAGAUCCGAGCCGCGUCUGCGACCUACACCUACACCAUAGCUCACGGCAACGCUGGAUCCUUAACCCACUAAGCAAGGGCAGGGAUCGAACCUGCAACCUCAUGGUUCCUAGUUGGAUUCGUUAACCACUGCGCCACAACGGGAAUUCCUGGUCUCUCACUUUUAAUUAGAAUGAUUUAGAAAUCACUUAGAAAUGGUUGAGCUUAGCGAGGAAAGCGUGUUGAAAGCCAAGACAGGCCGAAAGCUGGGCCUCUUGUGCCUAAGUAAGGCAAGGUGUAAAUGCAAAGGCAAAUUUCUUGAAGGAAAGGUAAAGGGCGGCUCCCCUGGAGCCAAGAAUGACAAGAAAGCGAAACGGCCCUCUUGCCUAAGAGCCAAGGAAGGGUCCAGAAGCAGAGACUGGAUGUUUAGGAAUAAAUCUCUGUAGCUGACUCAAGAGAGAGAGACAUGAGAUCCUUGGAUAUUCCUUUUAUUUAUCGGUGGUAGGAAGUACACUUCUUUUGUAGAUAAUAAAAAAGGGAGGCUCAGAGAAGUUCGGGAACCUGCUUAAGAUCCCUCAUCCAAUGAGUCCAAGCCAAGAACACUUCCAGCCUCAAAGGCCACUUUGUUUCCGCUCUACUACAUACCCAUUCACUGGAAAAGCUGUGUCAUCUGAUGGUCAGGAGCACACAGUUUGGAACCAGACCGCCUCAACCUCCUCAUCUUGAAAGUAAGGAUAAUGUCCUUACCUCAGAACACUAUUAUGAAGAUUACACUGUUGGUAAGUGCAGGAGUUCCCACUGUGGCUCAGCAGGUUAAGGACCUAAUGUUGUCUCUAUGAGGAUGCAGGUUUGAUGCCUGGCCUCACUCACUGGGUUAAGGAUCCAGAGGUGCCACAAGCUGCGGUGUAACUCACAGAUGUGGCUCAGCUCCCACUAUUGCUAUGCUGUGGCGCAGGCCGGCAGCUGCAGCUCCAGGAUGACCCCUAGCCUGGGAAUUUCCAUAUGCUGCAGGUGCGGCCAUGAAAGGAAAAAAGGAAAAAAAUAUUAAGUGUGAAACAAAUGUCAACUGGAAGCAGUGGUGGUGGCAGCAGCAGUAGGCUGGGUUUUACUUUGUGCCUUUGUGUGUAACAGGAAGAGAGGGGUAGGUGGGGGUUAGGGUUGUGGAUUUCACUGCAAGUGAGUUUAAUAUAUCAUUUAUUUAACCAAAAUGGGGCACCUGGUGGGAAAAAGACUUUGUUGGGUGCCAGGUGCAAAGCCUGAGCUCCCUUGACCAAGCCUGUCUUUCCCCAAGGGUGGAUGGGGGAUGGGGACAGAAUGACAUGCUGAGUGGGGCCCUUGGCUGCUGAAGCCAGAGACUCUCCACUGAGAGGGGGAUCCCCCAACUUGGGGAGUCCAGGAAAGCUAACAAGAGCUACCACCAUAUGUGGCACCUGUGGCCCUGAAAAGCAAAAAAAAAAGAAAAAGAAAGAAAAGAAUUGCUAGGCUUAAAGGCAGGAUGCUGGUAGUUUGGCCUCCCGGAAGGCCUGUCUUCAACUACCCCACGAAAAGAGCUGUUUUUAUAUCUUUACAAAGAAGACCACGCGUUCCCCCCCCGCCCGGAACCCAUUCCUCCAUCCCACAACACACACAGUCUAGCAAUUCUUUCUUUUCUUUUUGCCUUUUUGUCUUUUUAGGGCCACACCCGCAGCAUAUGGAGGUUCCCAGGCAAGGGGUUGAAUCAGAGCUGCAGCUGCCAGCCUACGCCACAGCCACAGCAACACAGGAUCCGAACCGCUUCUGUGACCUACACCACAGUUCACAGCAGUGCCAGAUCCUUAACCCACUGAGCCAGGCCAGGGAUUGAACCUGCGUCCUCAUGGAUGCUAGUCAGGUUUGUUAACCGCUGAGCCACGACAGGAACUCCUAGCGAUUCUUUCUCACAUCAAAUCCACAUCCCUCCUGCUGCAAGGAAACUACUACCCUUUUCUUGUCAGUCCUUGUCUGAAACAGAGGACAGCUGUUCUCACUUGCGCAAAGCUCUUGAGGACUAACUGAUCAAGAGGCUGGGGGUGGAGGGUAAAGGAAGAACUGUCUGACCUUGGUUCUGGAUAAGCCCUCAGGGAAAAUGCUUCUCUUCUUCCAGGACCCUAAUGAGCUAAACAGAAGGACAUUCAAGUGGCAGCUCCUAGACUUCACUCCUGGACUUGGAGUGUUACUGUUCAGACUGUUUCUUCACUUAAAAGUGAGUUUUGUGACACAAAAGGAAGGACAGGUAAAGCCAAGAUAUGAACUGGCUGUUUUCUGUAACCUACCGAAACAAGAACGGCACGUGACAUGCCUUUAAAAUCUGUGGAUUUGUUCCAAGGGACGAGUAUGGGUUGAUAAACUGAACAGAGGUUGUCAUCUGAGUGUCUUAGGGGACCUAGCUCAAGUGUCAUGUUCCUGUUUGUUUGGGGCUGUGAGGUUUGUGUUCACAGCUUCAUGGUUAUUCCCAGCACUUAAGGAGAAAAAAACGACCCUACCUGUUCAGUGACUAAUGGGUGGAAAAGAAGUCUGCAAUCCAUCCGGCAGAGUGGCUCAUUCUUUCCCCUCCUGCCCCGAUGCCAUGCUAUUUAGUUAUGAGUGUGUCUUUCCCGUUUUCCCCAUUGGGAUUGCUACAUUCUUGCUGUUGUCUUGGGCAGAUUACCAAAAUGGAGUUUAUGAUUCAUUGACCCAAAUUAUGUUCCCACUGACAAUAUCUGCAGAAAUUCAGUUCAACAAUGGCUUGCUGAGUUUACUGAAAACAUACAUCGCUCCCUGGAAUUCACCCACCCCAAUCAGGCCAACAGAAGAGCAAAUUAAAUCUUAUCUCCUUGGAUGUCCUUGAGGAAGAACAUCCUGGUCUUGGCAGUUCACUGCAUAUUUACAAAAAGCUACGAGAAAGCAAGAUCGUGAACAGGUCUUCUGUGAAUUGCAGUUAAAUCCCUAGGCCUAUGUGAAAGACCUCUCGGUAUGGACAACAACCUAUUUUCCUAAAUCACAACCCUGGGAUGAAGGUCCCAUGCUCGUUUUUUUGUGUGUGUGCGCGAGAAGCACGGGUAGGCAUUUUUCCCAGCAAGCAUGUGAAGUGCGUAGCAACCAGGCUCUAUCUUUGAUUUCUCUUGCCCAUGAUCCGAGGGAGGAAGCAAAGUAAUAUAAAAGUUAAGAAAGCAAACAUAUAUUGCUUUCCUGGAUAGAUCAACUUCUCCCAUAGUGAUUUUUGCCUUUGUACACUUUGUCUUUGAAUGACAUAAAGUAAAAGGUAAAAUCCUAGUUCAUUAGUUUAUAACCUGUUGAGCAGAGGUGGGUGGAAUCCUUGCAAAGCAAAAUAGAAGCAUGAGGAUGGAGCGGGCAUACUCUGUCCUGUCUUUCCCACUGAAUUCAGUUAUAAAAACUGGAAAGAAUUCAUGAAGCAGCUAUUUAAGGACUGUGAAAAAUAAAUGAUAGCAGGUAGAUUGGGAAAGAAGACCAGAAUUUGAAGUACCACAGAACCAGGACUGAGUUCCCUCCUCCCACUUUUUUCCCCUUGGUGUCCCUUGGCUGGACUCAAAGCAGCCUAAAAACUGAAAGUGAGAAUGAGACAUGAGUAGAGAGUUCCAGGCGAAGCCCUCCACUUCUAGCUCAACAAGCAGAAAGGAAACUCCUAAUGCUUAGCAGGAGUGGAGAAAAUGGUCCAUUUUUCUUUUCUCUGUUUUAUGGUCCCCUAGUCCCCAGACAAUCCUGAGGAGGUGGGGACAUCCCAGAAGUGGGAUCCAUGGCACUAAAACCAUGAGAAAAGGGAAACUCCCACUCUGAUUUGAGGAGCUGUGGUCUCCGGGCAGUGGGCUAUUUCUCUCUGUUCUGCUGCCACUUGGCCCCAGAUGUAGAUGCGCUCACGGAAGUAGGCGGCAGAGCAAGGGAACUAGAGCCCCAGCUCUCAGAUUAAGGGAAUGAAAAAUGGAGCCUCGGGGAGCCAGAAAGUACUGGGGAGUUUGUGGGUAGGGAGGAUCUUGGGACAUUGUUGAUGAAUUCCUGAGCUUAUCCACAAGCUUCGCAUGCAUGAACCUGACUCUAAACAACAUACUACAGACUUUGAAGACUGAACUAUGGGAGAGACCACAGCCCGCAUCCAAGGCUGGCCACAGGGUCAUUACAUGAGGGGCAGAUCAGAGUCGCACUGCAAAGGCUUUGAAAACUGAAUUGACAUUGGAACCACUCACACAGAAGUAUAUAGCUGGAACAUAGGUCCUCAACCCAGCUUAGCUGCCUACUAAACCAAAAGCAUCAGCAAUCUCCAUGGGAUUUAAACAAGACCCAGAGUCUCAUAACAUAAUAUUGAAAGUGUCCAAAAUAUAAUUAAAAAUUUCAAGGCAUACAAUGAACCAAAAACAUUUCAACUUGCAUAGGAAGAGCUAGUCAACAGAUGUCAACAGUAAGAUGAUACAGAUGUUGGAAUAAUCAAAGACUUUAAAGCAACUAUUAUAAGAUUCCUCGAGGAAGUAAGGUAGAACGUUCUUGACUGAAAUAGAAUGGUAGAAAGUCUCAGUAAAGAAAUAGAAUUAUUUAAAAAAAGAAAAGAACAAAAUGGUAAUUUUAGAAUUAGAUAAUACAAUAACUAAACUUCUAAGAAUACAUGGGCAUUCUCGUCAUGGCUCAGAGGAAACAAAUCUGACUAGUAUCCAUGAUGAUGCAGGUUUGAUCCCUGGCCCCGCUCAGCGGGUCUGGGAUCUGAUGAUGCCGAGAGCUGUAGUGUAGGUCACAGACUCGGCUUGGAUCUUUCGAUACUCUGGCUGUGGCAUAGGCCAGCAGCUGUAACUCGAUUUGACCUGGGAACUUCUAUAUGCCACAGGUGUGGCCCUAAAAAGCAAAAUAAAAUAAAAUAAAAAAUACAUGGAUGGAUGUAAAUCAACUAUAAUAAAUUUUUUAAAUAAACAGGAAAAGAUAUUAAAAAUAUAUGGAUGGGUCCAUUUUAUUUAUUAUAUUUAAAAACGGCAGAAUGGAGAUGCUAGAGGAAAGAAUCAAUGAACUUGAAAAUAAAGCAAUAGAAAUCAUCUAAUCUCAACAACAGUAAAGAAAAAAAUUGAAAACAAACAAAAAAGAGGAGUACCUCAGGGACAUAUGGGACAUUGCCAAAGUCAUUGGACAUUUUUAGGUCUAAUAUUGAUGUCAUUGGCAUCUUAGAAAGAGAACAGAAAGAAUGCAGUGCAGAAAAAUUAUUAGAGGAAAUAACGACUUGAACUUUCCAUAUUUUGUGAAAGACAUAUUUUUUUAAUGGCUGCGCUCAUGGUAUUUGGAAGUUUCUGGGUCAGGGAUUGAAUCCAACCCUCAGCUGUGGCAACGCUGGAUCCUUUAACCCACUGCGUCAGGCCAGGGAGUGAACCUGCACCUCUGCAGCCAUCUGAGCCACUGCAGUCGGAUUCUUAACCCACUGCACCACAGUGGGAACCCCCAAAGAUAUUAAUAUUUAGAUUCAAGCCGUUCAGCGAACUUGCAAAAGCAGAAAUCCAAAGACAUCCAUAUCAAGAGACACUAUAAUUAAAUUGUUGAAAA
rnacentral:lncRNA from 1 species